GUAGGUGGCAAGCGUUGUCCGGAAUUAUUGGGCGUAAAGCGCGCGCAGGCGGUCCUUUAAGUCUGAUGUGAAAGCCCACGGCUCAACCGUGGAGGGUCAUUGGAAACUGGGGGACUUGAGUACAGAAGAGGAAAGCGGAAUUCCAAGUGUAGCGGUGAAAUGCGUAGAGAUUUGGAGGAACACCAGUGGCGAAGGCGGCUUUCUGGUCUGUAACUGACGCUGAGGCGCGAAAGCGUGGGGAGCAAACAGGAUUAGAUGCCCUGGUAGUCCACGCCGUAAACGAUGAGUGCUAAGUGUUAGGGGGUUUCCCGCCCCCUUAGUGCUGCAGCUAACGCAUUAAGCACUCCGCCUGGGGAUACGGCCGCAAGGCUG
rnacentral:rRNA from 1 species